rnacentral:rRNA from 1 species
AUUGAACGCUGGCGGCAUGCUUUACACAUGCAAGUCGAACGGUAACAGGGAGCUUGCUCCGCUGACGAGUGGCGAACGGGUGAGUAAUAUAUCGGAACGUGCCCAAGAGUGGGGGAUAACGUAGCGAAAGUUACGCUAAUACCGCAUACGAUCCAAGGAUGAAAGCAGGGGACCUUCGGGCCUUGUGCUCCUGGAGCGGCCAAUAUCUGAUUAGCUAGUUGGUGAGGUAAAGGCUCACCAAGGCGACGAUCAGUAGCUGGUCUGAGAGGACGACCAGCCACACUGGAACUGAGACACGGUCCAGACUCCUACGGGAGGCAGCAGUGGGGAAUUUUGGACAAUGGGGGCAACCCUGAUCCAGCAAUGCCGCGUGAGUGAAGAAGGCCUUCGGGUUGUAAAGCUCUUUUGUCAGGGAAGAAAAGGGUACGGCUAAUAUCCGUGCCUCGUGACGGUACCUGAAGAAUAAGCACCGGCUAACUACGUGCCAGCCGCCGCGGUAA